rnacentral:pre_miRNA from 1 species
UUGGGACGUUUUGCCCCCUCAACCUAACGGCUCCGUUAAGUCGUUGACGUGGCAUUGCCACGUCUGUAAAUUAACGGAGCCGUUAAGUUGAGGGGGCAAAACAUCCCAA